UACCAAGGGCACAUGGGGGAUGUCUAGGCGUUAGGAGGCUUUGAAGGGCGCGGAAGGCUGCGAUAAGCCUGGGGUAGCUGUCAAACAAGCGAUCAUCCCGGGAUUCCCGAACUGGCAUGUACUGAAUUCAUAGGUGCAUGCAGCGAACGCGGCGAACUGAAACAUCUUAGUAACCGCAGGAAAAAAAAAAAAAA
rnacentral:rRNA from 14 species